rnacentral:rRNA from 1 species
UCGAGAAUUUUUCACAAUGGGCGCAAGCCUGAUGGAGCGACGCCGCGUGGGGGAUGAAUGGCUUCGGCCCGUAAACCCCUGUCAUUUGCGAUCAACCGUUAUUGUUUAAGAGAUGAUAACCUGAUAGUAGCGAAAGAGGAAGGGACGGCUAACUCUGUGCCAGCAGCCGCGGUAAUACAGAGGUCCCAAGCGUUGUUCGGAUUCACUGGGCGUAAAGGGUGCGUAGGUGGGGAAGUAAGUCGGAUGUGAAAUCUCCGAGCUCAACUCGGAAACUGCAUUGGUAACUACUUUGCUUGAGGGUUUGGGCGGGGAGUGGAAUACUUCGUGUAGCAGUGAAAUGCGUAGAUAUCAAGUGGAACAGCAGUUGCGAAGGCGAGUCCCUGGACAACUCCUGACACUGAGGCACGAAAGCUAGGGGAGCAAACA